rnacentral:rRNA from 1 species
CCCUUAGAUGUUCUGGGCUGCACGCGUGCUACAAUGGCGCUUGCAACAAGUCUUGCCAACCCGAUAGGGUGAGCGGAUCUUUGAAGAGGCGUCGUGAUCGGGACAGUUGAUUGCAAUUAUUCGACUCGAACGAGGAAUUCCUUGUAAUCGCGAUUCAUCAUAUCGCGCUGAAUACGUCCCUGCCCUUUGUACACACCGCCCGUCGCUCCUACCGAUUGAGCGAUCCGGUGAAUGUUUUGGACUGGCGUCAGAAGCGGUUCGCUCCUGACACUACGAAAUUUUGUAAACCUUAUCGCGUAGAGGAAGGAAAAGUCGUAACA